ensembl:snRNA U6 U6 spliceosomal RNA
GUGCUCAUUGGGUGGUAUACAUUCUAAAAUUGUAACAAUACAGAGAAGAUUAGCAUGGCUCUUGCACACUGAUAAUAUGCAAAAAUAAUAUUUACUUUUCUUUCUU